GUGACAGAGCCAGACUCCAUCUCAAAAAAAAAAAAAAAAAAGCCCAUGUGAUGUUCCCCCCAGCCCUGGUCCUGGGGUGGUGGUGUCCUUAUCACUGCAGUAACUGGGAGGAAAUGGUCCCCAUGCAUUGCUCUAAAUCCUGCUGGAUGUGGUUUUGGAGGUGCUGGGGGGCUGCCUAGGAGACUGGAAGGGGAGGAAGGCGUAUCCCCUGAAGGUUUCGAACGCAGUCUGUGUGCGUAAGGGUCCCACCCUGCACACUCCCAGAAAGUGGCCAGUGUUUUUCUGCUCCAGCAGGGAGCCCAGGUGAAGUUCUCUGGGUAGGUGGAAAGGUAGGUAGAGCAGGCUUCAAGAGCAGAGCCCAGCAGAGCGCCCCUGCCUCCUCCUGCCACCCGACUCCUCUCUCUCCUCCUCUCCCUUCCCGCCCUUUUGGAAGCAAGGUGGGGAGAGGCUUCCACCGAGGUUGGGCCCAGCUCGUGUCCUGAGUGGUGGGAAUCUGUGGAGACCCUAGGUAUGUUUCCUGCCCUGGAGGAGGAAUGCUUUACAGAUGUUGGAGCUGCCUCAAGGCAUGACCAGGAGGGGCCGGAGGGGCCGGAGGAGCAGAACAUAGGCGGCGACGUUGGCCUGGCGCCUGCACAGGAGCAGUCAUUGGUUAAAAUGUCACCUGGAAGGAGCCUAAAUCUUUGGGUCCUCCUUGGAGAGUCCCAGUAGAAGCAAUGCCUGCCCUUUGUAGAAUGCUGGGAAAAUAGAGAAAAGCAAGAACAAGAAAGCCCGGACCUCCUCCGUCAGCCUGCCUGCACGUGGGAGUUACAAUGAAACGCUUUUGCAAACAUUUGUUAUUUUUGUUUUUCCUCAGUUAAACUCUGAUGUGCACAUCA